rnacentral:rRNA from 1 species
AUGAACGCUGGCGGCGUGCCUAAUACAUGCAAGUCGAGCGAACGGACGAGAAGCUUGCUUCUCUGAUGUUCGCGGCGGACGGGUGAGUAACACGUGGAUAACCUACCUAUAAGACUGGGAUAACUUCGGGAAACCGGAGCUAAUACCGGAUAAUAUUUUGAACCGCAUGGUUCAAAAGUUAAAGACGGUCUUGCUGUCACUUAUAGAUGGAUCCGCGCUGCAUUAGCUAGUUGGUAAGGUAACGGCUUACCAAGGCAACGAUGCAUAGCCGACCUGAGAGGGUGAUCGGCCACACUGGAACUGAGACACGGUCCAGACUCCUACGGGAGGCAGCAGUAGGGAAUCUUCCGCAAUGGGCGAAAGCCUGACGGAGCAACGCCGCGUGAGUGAUGAAGGUCUUCGGAUCGUAAAACUCUGUUAUUAGGGAAGAACAUAUGUGUAAGUAACUGUGCACAUCUUGACGGUACCUAAUCAGAAAGCCACGGCUAACUACGUG